CCUUCGUACUUGGCAACAGUGUCUGAGUGCGCGCGCUGCUUCCCACUUCCCAGUUCAAGAAUAUUCGUAACGGAAGGUAUUAUGUGUUGUGGUGCGUUGCGUUGUGUUGUGUUGCGUUGGAGGAGAGUGCAGGAUGGUCUGGGGACGCCUGUGUGUUGCGGUGUGCUGGAGUGUCGUGUUGUCCUCGCCUCGUCUCGCCGGUCCCAGCCUCUCCCAGCCUCUCCCUUGCUCUCCCUUGCCCUCCCUGCCACGCCCUUCGUCUCUGGUUGGGUUCUGUUUGUUCGGGCGUUUACCAAUAUGGGAAGCGUUUGUUUUGGUUUACGAAAAGGUUAGAAUUGGCUGGUCCCACAUCUCCCCUCUCCCCCAAACGUGACUCAGAAAAUAUUAGAAUUAUGAAAAAUAUGAAGAAAAAAAAAUAUAUGAAAACGGUAAAUUCUAAAAAAAAAAAAAAAAAAAAAAAAAAAAAGUAUAAAAUAAAUGAUAGAUUAAGAACGACAAAAUAGAUGGAAUAUGAUGAAAUAAACAGAAGAAUCACCAACAGCAAUAUACAGACUGAGGGUGAAGGGGUUUGGUUGGUUAGCCAGCAAACGAAAAGGAGUGACGGGAACUAAGUUGGGGUAAGCUGAUGUUAAAGGGUUAAGAGAAGACAGACACAUAGAUACACAAGCCACAACAGCCUAUUGGUGGUGGUGGUGG